GUAUUUUCAUCUGUAAAAUGGAAAAUCUCAAGAAAUCUUAGAGUUCCUAGACUUAAACUUGCAGUAUAGCAGAGGGUGACCUUACAUUCCUGACUCUCUUGCCCUCAUGUCCACGACGUGCUGGGUGAUCUGACCUGGUGCUGUUGUUAACAAUCACAAACGGUUCUCUGUCAACAGUCUUCCUAGUUUUAAAACACGACAGUAAGAAUUCUUUCAGAGCUGAGCCUUUAGGCAUUGGUACUCCUUGGGCUGAGUGACCCCCACCCUGAAACACUGGACCAGAGAUCAUGAGCAUGAAAAAUGCCUAAGUGUGGUUCCCGCAUCACUGCUGCCUGUGGAGUGUCUGCUACCCAAGUCUCUGCCAUCCUUAUCCCUGCCCUUUCUGUGGCUUUGGAGAAAGUGCAUUUCCUUCCAUGUCUGCGGUGUGAUCUAUACUCAACUUCCAACGAAACAAAGACUGUCACAUCUGACCUCCGGAGCUCUUUCAGUUUCCACCUAUGGUCUGGAAAUCAAAAUAAUCACAUCGGUGAAGACUAU
ensembl:lncRNA